GUGGCGAACGGGUGAGUAACACGUGAGUUACCUGCCCCGAAGUGGGAGAUAGCCCGGAGAAAUCCGGAUUAAUACCCCAUGUGGUCGAGAGACUAAAGGCGGCGCAAGCUGUCGCUUCGGGAUGGGCUCGCGGCCUAUCAGCUAGUUGGGGGGGUAAAGGCCCACCAAGGCGAUGACGGGUAGCUGGUCUGAGAGGAUGAUCAGUCACACUGGAACUGAGACACGGUCCAGACACCUACGGGUGGCAGCAGUCGAGAAUCAUUCGCAAUGGGCGAAAGCCUGACGGUGCGACGCCGCGUGGAGGAUGAAGGCCCUAGGGUCGUAAACUCCUGUCAUCGGGGAGUAAAGGCUUGCGCAGUAACUGGCGCGGGUCCUGAUAGUACCUGAAGAGGAAGGGACGGCAAACUUCGUGCCAGCAGCCGCGGUAAUACGAAGGUCCCGAGCGUUGUUCGGAUUUACUGGGCGUAAAGCGUCUGUAGGCGGCGCGGUAAGUCAGAUGUGAAAUCCCGGGGCUCAACCCCGGAACUGCAUUUGAUACUGCCGUGCUUGAGGGUCGGAGGGGAGUCUGGAAUUCUCGGUGUAGCAGUGAAAUGCGUAGAUAUCGAGAGGAACACUAGUGGCGAAGGCGAGACUCUGGACGACACCUGACGCUGAGAGACGAAGGCCAGGGGAGCGAAAAGGAUUAGAUACUCUUGUAGUCCUGGCAGUAAACGGUGCACGCUUGGUGUGGGAGGGAUCGACCCCUUCCGUGCCGGAGCUAACGCGUUAAGCGUGCCGCCUGGGG
rnacentral:rRNA from 1 species